UCCCUGUUGCCUUUGAAAAAGGGCUAACAGCUCUCUCCACCGCAUGCCAAUGUGGGUGCCCUGUUGCCAGGAUCUGUUUGCUAGUCGGCCGGUCAUGCCGGGGAGCAGCAGCCCCUCCACCACUUUGAGAAUUCUGAUGCUGAUUACUCUUAUCUGAAGGAUACUUUGGAUUUCACCUGCGAAAUAACCAAUAUGUGGCUUCGGAAGGAAGAAAUACAGUCCGUAUGAAAAGGAGACGGAAGUCUUAAAGCAAAUCAGAAUGAUGAACUUUGCCUUAAGCGCCCCCGCGCCCCCCCGCCCCGUGGAUGUGAGGAGCAAUGGUGCGUAGGGAGAGUUAGGGGAGCAGGGGGCUCUGCCCUGGCCUUGGAGGCUGGGUCGGGACGACCUCGGAACCCGAGUCUCGCCAGAGACUCUACGCCCAGGGUCUCCGCUCUUCUCUCAGCUCAGUGGGAGCUCCUCAGAAACCCCUUCUCACUGGCAGCAACCCAAAGGACUGAAAGGUUUUACCUUACAGCUUUUGUUUCAUAUAUCCAAAAUGAUGAUUUUGAAACAUUUGGUUUUUUGAAAAAAUAAACCAGAUCUCUGGCAAUAGAAGAGUAUCUCGUUCUUCAAGUAAAUGCAAGUGAACCUGAAGAACAGUUUAUUUACAAAUAAAUUCUACCAGGAACCAGUUAAGGUUACGUUUAAAUCUUCCUGUCUCUGUUAGUUAAAAAGUAUUGGAAAAAUGUGAAUGAGUUGAAUAAAGGACUGAAUCAGAAUGAAAGAAUGAUAAAGAUUGGCAAGUGAUAUCUUUUUGUAGAAAAUGAUGCAAAUACUGUAUGCUAUUGUAUCUAUCAGGAACAUAAUUUUUGGAAAGGAAAAAUGAUUGGUUUCCCGAAAGUUUCAAGAGCAGUUGAAAUGCCCCAAGUACCCAUAAGUAGGGGUUCUUAACUUAGGAUCCAUAGACAGAAUUCACAUUGUCUAUAAACCUGGGUAGGAAAAAAAUAUAUCCUUAUUUUCACCAGCCUCCCACUGAAGUCUAACACUCCCUUCACCUAUGAAUACGGGCUACAGUCUCGGGAGUACCAGCCAUAUCUGUGCCUCUCCCAUCAGUGUAAGUCACAGGUAUGUUCCGAUCACGUCACAGUCAUGGAAGAUAACCAAAAUGAUCGUUUGUGCUCAUCACAAUUUCAAAGCCACGGUAGUUACUAGAACAACGUGCUAUUUAAUAUAUUAAUAAAGAAGCACAUGCUUUACGACAUCAUAACUUCUUAA